rnacentral:rRNA from 1 species
CACGGAGUUAGCCGAUCCUUAUUCUUACAGUACAUUCAGCUACUUACACGUAAGUAGGUUUAUUCCCGUAUAAAAGCAGUUUACAACCCGUAGGGCCGUCUUCCUGCACGCGGCAUGGCUGGUUCAGACUUCCGUCCAUUGACCAAUAUUCCUUACUGCUGCCUCCCGUAGGAGUCUGGUCCGUGUCUCAGUACCAGUGUGGGGGGUUAAUCCUCUCAGAUCCCCGUAAACAUCGUAGCCUUGGUAAGCCGUUACCUUACCAACUAGCUAAUGUUCCGCAUGCCCAUCUUGUUCCUAUAAAUAUUUGGUAAUUAAAUGAUGCCAUUCAAUUACGUUAUGCGGUCUUAAUCUCUCUUUCGAGAGGCUAUCCCCCGUGAACAAGGUAGGUUACAUACGUGUUACGCACCCGUGCGCCACUCUCAAGAAAACGCAAGCUCUUCUAUCCCGUCCGACUUGCAUGUAUUAGGCCUGCCGCUAGCGUUCAUCCUGAGCCAGGAUCAAACUC